AGAUGUUGAGUAUUGAUUACUAAUCAACUACUAGCCUGGAAGAUAAAAGCCAAAGCUGUAAACAGACAGGUCAGGUAAAUAUAUGAAUGAAGAAAUUAAAUCUAGAAGUAAACAUCAUGGGAAGUCUAAUUAUAGGGCAAGUAUUUUUCCUUCAUAUCUUAUUUAACAUAGUCAAACCAUGCAAUACUUAUAGGCUUAACUAUUGUUUUCAUAGAAACAAUGUUAUUUUAAAUAUCAUGAGAUAGUGUAUUUAAGAGAUAUUGUAGUUCAAGUUUCCAUAUUUAAUCAGCUUAACAAGUGCACAUUCUCUGCUGCCAACAGUACCAAUUUGUCAUCCAAGCAACAAAUAUUCCUUGGUAAUCUGCUAUCAGAUGACAGUUAUCUCUUUGGCAUUUUUAUGAAUUAAAGCUUUCAAAGCCAAACUUCAGAUUUGCUUAGCAUAUUCCUGUACUACAUAUCAACAAAUGUUUGAUGGUUUGUCUGGUUCAUCUCUUAACACUAUGAAGAUGGCUACACUAAUCUUAACAAGCAAACAUUCUGUUGCCAACAGUACCAAUUUGUCAUCCUAUCCAAGCAACUACUAUUCCUUGGUAAUCUGCUAUCAGAUGAUUACAGUUUUCUCUUUGGCAUUUGUAUGAAUUAAAGCUUUCAAAGCCAAACCUUAGAUUUGGUUAGCAUAACCCUGAACUGCAUAUCAACAAAUGUCUAAUGGUCUGUCUGGUUCAUUUCUCAAGACUAUGAAGAUGGCUACACAUGUAUCAGCUAUCAGCAGUGCACCCCUAUGAUACACAAGUCUUCAUUGCCAAGUCACUCUGCCAAACAGAGUGUACACCUUUCUUGCAUUGGUAGUGACCCACUUUACUGUCAUGAGUCUGGAUAUGUCAGGCCAAGGAGAUCAAGUUUGUGUCCAAGGUUACUUAGUUAAUUCUCUAAGAACAAUAGACAGACUCUACAUGCUACUGAUCUGGAGGUUAGUGGCUCAAUCAUUGUGCACUGAUUCUUCACUGAUGCCUUGAUUCCCCACUGUCAACUUUAUUGUCAUAAAGUUUAUCUAGUGAUCUACAUAUCAAGACUAAAUGGUCAAUUAAACAUGAGGUCAAGGAAAAAGGAUGAACAUUUCAAGGCUACUGAAGGAACAUUAAACGUCUCUCUCACUGUGAAAAGAUUCUACCGAUCUACAAAUGAUCAACAUGUUUUAUCUUAAGUUCGUCUGCCAUUUCUUCAAAUUGAGCCAUAUUAAGAAUAAGAUUCUUUUUGUUCAUCCUAAGGUUCAAAUGUAUCAGUUGUUUUUGUUGACAGAUAUCAAGGUACAGAAAUAAGAAUCUAAUUUAGAGUUUUUUAAAGCUUGAUUAGUCAUAAUAUUUGCACUAUUAUUUCCAAUAUGUGCCAGAGUGUCUGCUAAAUGUAACUAGUAUGAUUAAAAACAUGGUCAUUGCAAAGUCUAACAUAUGGACAAGUAGGAUGCUUGGGGCUUGAUUCAGUGAAAGAAUGUUGGACAAGCAGAAGUGUUAUGGAGUGUGUGUGUUUUUAUGGUGACUGUGGUAAGAGGUAAGCGAUUGAAUGUGAAUGAUGCAAAAGUGGCAUUGUCGUCACUGGGUCUUAGUUAGGGGAGACGACUCCAGAAUGUAAGACUGAAAGGUUGUGUUAUUGUAGUGAGUUAGAUUGUAAGAAAUUUUAUUACUUAAGUCUACUACAUUUAUUUCAUGUGAUCACAAGUAUUAUAAAUGUUAUAUUUAGUUUUGUUCACAAGGAAGUUGUUCAAGUUCUUAUUAGCUAAGAUAUAUUAUGCCUUCAACAGUUUAGUUGCCUACCAGCAGUUUGGUGCUACAAGUCAACAACAGUCAGACUAAAUUAAAUAAAGCCAUGUCUAUUUCUACAUGAUUUUGUUGCUACUAACCUGGUGUUACUAACAACUAACUCGAAAAGGGAGAGGGGAAUUAUCAUCUUAUUCAUGUACUAUUUACAUUAGAUUUUUACCAAAUUAUUUUAAUUUUUACUACCCUUACUAUUUUAACUGUGAAUAGACCUUGAUUUUAAUGAUUUAACUGUAUAGAAUUUAGCCCCUGUUAUGUAGAGAGAGAGAGUAGUCUUUAAGGGACUGCAGGCACGACAUGGCCUAAAUUGUGCAGAUGUGCAUAAAAUCAAAGAAAUAAAACAUUAACAAAAUGUGUAUUAUAAUUGUCACUUUUCCUCUACUUAGAAUUUUUUUCUCUCCUAGAUUUUCAUAAUUUUUUGUUGAAGUCAUAUCAGUUCUCAAUUAUUUUGUGCACCAAGUUACAAGAAAAAAUUUAAGCAAGAGAGGUCACUACACUAAGACUUUGUCUUCUCAUAAGAAAGGAUGGCUGCCUGGUCAUGUGAUAUGUGCACUGGACUGUGUAUGGUCAUCUUGAUGCUCAUAUCUUGCCUGAUGACAUUUAUUCUGCUGAAUAUUUGGUCAAGGAAGUAGAUUCUCUUCAGCUCUCAAGAAACAUUCAAAACAUGUCAAACAUUCGACAAGAAUAUCAAGUGCAAUGUACAUACCAACAUGAUGAAAAGGUAGACAACAUGAAGAUGUAGACCAACAUGAUGAAGAUGUAGACCAACAUGAAGAGGUAGACCAGCAUGAUGAAGAUGUAGACCAACAUGAUGAAGAUGUAGACCAACAUGAAGAUGAAAUGUAAACCAAAAAAUGGGUCAAGAGAUGUAUGGAAUACAAUGUGAACAUCUUGAGAAGUAAAACAAUUCCUAGAGGCAAAGACACAGACACACCGGAUCUAUUAGAGAUUUUCCUUUUCUACCAUCAUUUAGAGACUUCCUUGUGCUCUAAGGGAAUAUGUCAUUAUCUUUUGAUUGCUAAUUGGCAUUGAUGUUUUUACAUUCCUACUGCGUCUGAAAGAAAUUAACAUUUCCCUAAUGCUACUUCAAAACCAGACCUUCUCAAGACAAUUUUAGUGACCAAGCUGCAAUAUGGGACUCAGUAGGAAACAAUGAAGAAUGCUCCUAACCUCAGGUUGAGUAACCAUGCUCACCUACUAGAGUGGCGACAAAUACUUCUACACCCACAGUUAUACAUCCUGAACCCUGUAACCCAACCUCACAACAUGGUUACAUUACCGGAAGUGGUCGCAAGGUCAGAAAACCUAACAGAUACAAUGGAUAGAACAAUGAACAGGUACAAGUACUCAAGUGAUGUACUUUGUGAGAACUAUUUAGGUGGAAUCACCAUAAUUGACUUGUAUAAAUCUUGUUCUAUAUUUAGGUAUAUCUUGACAAUCAGUCCAGUCAUUUGUUCAUUUUUUUUUUUAAUAUUCCUUUUUUUCCCCUCAAACUUCUUGUUGUUUCAGUUACAUGUUUUUGUAUUUUGAAGGAGGAAGGUGCUUUGGUAUAUUAUCCUUAUUAUUAUUGUACCAGUAUUAAGCAAACUUGUAUAUCUUUAAUUAUUCAUGAAUUCUAAAGCAGAACGUCACUUCCACCGGAAAAUGUUGUAACAACUAUACGUGUCUUCAGUUAACAUUCAAUACUCUGUACAGUCACAACGCCAAAGCCUUGCUAGAUUAUGCUUUUAAUUCAAUUUGUUAUCUCCCCUGCUUUAGUGUGCUAUCAUAUAAUUUUUUGUGUCACAUCCCUGCACAAUUUGUUCUAUGCUUUUUUACAGUAUAAAUAGCGACUUGACAUUAUUUAGCUAUAUUAUAAUAUUGUUAUAUUAUUAUAUUUAAAAUAAAACUGUUAACAUAUUCUAUGCUGUUAUGAUAUAAAUGUUUUGCUGUUACCAUGAAUACAGUUUUGAGUUUUUGUCUGAUUUCUUAGAGGAGAAAUUUUCCAUAAAUAAUAAUAAUAAGGCUUAUCUUCAAGUCCGAAGAUUAGUGAGAAGUAUGCAGUAUUCCCCAGCUAGGACCUACAUAUUUUGCUAUAAAUAAAGAGUAUAAUAAUAUUUACUACUUGGUAUUGUCAGUCUUCACUAAAGCAAUGAGUUUAUCCCCUUAGUGUGUUUAAAAUUUUCAAAUACUAAUUCACUUUGUAUUAUUUAUUGGUGAUCAUGGGGUAUCCACUUUGUCAUCUCCAUAGUCUCUGGUGUUAACACUCACUGUCCUGUUGGAGGUUACGGCUAGGAUGUAAUCUCUCUUUCUGAUGGAACACAUGUAAAACCAACAAAACAAACAUUAGACCUAGACUUUAUUAACAGGUAAAUUUUUAUAAUUGUGAACUGGCGCUCCCAAAGCUACUUUUAUGUAUUUUAAAUUUUACUUCCGUAGGCUAGUGCUAAGCUGUAUACUUGUAUUUCUGCCUAUUAUAUGGGUUAGGGUGGAGUAUUUAAAAUAGAGCCUAUGCUGUUUCCUGUACUGUUGACCAGUGGUCUCUGUGUCAGUUUUAAUUAUUCUGUACCUGGGACUGCCUGUAAGUUUCAGAAUUUUUCUUUUAUUUUUUAAAAUUUUACUAUGUGUAAAUCUGUUUUAUAUUUGAACAACUGUCAAAAUAACUAGCAGUUUUUUUUUUCUAAAGUUUGUUUUAAAACUAUGGCCAAGCCCUGCCCAGUGCUUUCAUGAUGGCCACUUCUAAUGUUUAUGUACUAGAUUGUAACUGCUGCCUUAGUCAUUGAAAUUAAAGUCUCAUUUGAAUUUCUUCUUUAUGUUUCUAGAUUUCUUUUAGUUCGCUAGUUUAGUUUAGUUAUCUGGUUGCUUAGAUGACUCAAACCCCUUGGUCACAGAGGUGCACAGAUACAACCCACCCAGUAGUGUUACAAUCUGGCAACUGUAACUUCUUGUUAUCCCAGGCUAGACAUGACCUUAGGCCCCGCCAGGCUAACAUAUUCUCUCAUUCCAGACAGCAUUGUCCCUAACAAUAAAUAAUUACCUUGCUUUAGUUGUAGAAUGAAAGAUGAGCAAACAGUUAAAAGUUUCUAUAGAAUUCACUUGGAGGUGUGGUGGCUAAGCGGUAAAGUGCUUGGCUGCCAAACAUAGGUCUAGGGUUUGAAGACCAUUUUUUUUAUAAUGGUCCUAAUAUAAAGAAAAACAAUUAGGCACCUUUCGGUCCACCCAGCUCAAAUGGGUUCCUGACAUUUAAUGGAGAAAAGUAAAGGCGGUUGGUCAUUGUGGUGGUCACCUGAUACCCUCAUUGACCAUAAGACACAGAAACAGAUGAU